UACGGGGGGGGCAAGCGUUGUUCGGAAUUACUGGGCGUAAAGGGCUCGUAGGUGGCCAACUAAGUCAGACGUGAAAUCCCUCAGCUUAACUGGGGAACUGCGUCUGAUACUGGAUGGCUUGAGUUUGGGAGAGGGAUGCGGAAUUCCAGGUGUAGCGGUGAAAUGCGUAGAUAUCUGGAGGAACACCCGUGGCGAAGGCGGCUCUCUGGGACGGUACUGACGCUGAGACGCGAAAGCGUGGGGAGCGAACAGG
rnacentral:rRNA from 1 species